rnacentral:rRNA from 1 species
CCUACGGGAGGCAGCAGUGGGGAAUAUUGCACAAUGGGCGAAAGCCUGAUGCAGCAACGCCGCGUGAAGGAAGAAGGGUUUCGGCUCGUAAACUUCUAUCAAUAGGGACGAAAGAAUUGACGGUACUUGCAUAAGAAGCCCCGGCUAACUACGUGCCAGCAGCCGCGGUAAUACGUAGGGGGCAAGCGUUAUCCGGAAUUACUGGGUGUAAUGGGUGAGUAGGCGGCAUGGUAAGCCAGAUGUGAAAGCCUUGGGCUUAACCCGAGGAUUGCAUUUGGAACUGGCAAGCUAGAGUACUGGAGAGGAGAGCAGAAUUCCAAGUGUAGCGGUGAAAUGCGUAGAGAUGAGGAAGAACACCGGUGGCGAAGGCGGCUUUCUGGACUGAGACUGACGCUGAGGCACGAAAGCGUGGGGAGCGAACAGGAUUAGAUACCCCUGUAGUC